rnacentral:rRNA from 1 species
AGCUCCAAUAGCGUAUAUUAAAGUUGUUGCAGUUAAAAAGCUCGUAGUUGGACUUCUGAUGUGAAAGAUCGGUCCACCGCAAGGUGAGCACUGAUUCUUCGCGUCUUCCUCUCGUAGUUGUUUCGCGCACUUAGUUGGGUGCGAGAUGAAUAUGGGACCUUUACUUUGAAAAAUUAGAGUGUUCAAAGCAGGCAAUCGCUUGAAUACAUUAGCAUGGAAUAAUAGAAUAGGACUUUGGUUCUAUUUUGUUGGUUUCUAGGACCGAGGUAAUGAUUAAUAGGGACAGUUGGGGGCAUUAGUAUUUAAUUGUCAGAGGUGAAAUUCUUGGAUUUAUGAAAGACUAACUACUGCGAAAGCAUUUGCCAAGGAUGUUUUCA